ACUGCAUAAUAAGGAACAGGUGCCUGUAAAGGCUUAAUAGGGAAGACCGGUGAGAUACCGGCACGGUCCCGCCACUGUAAUGCCGAGCGAAUCCGAUGAAAGUCACUGAGGAAUUGGGAAGACCGGACAAGCGAUGAAGCAAAGUCAGGAGAACUGCCUGUUUUUACUACUGUUUG
rnacentral:ncRNA from 19 species